UACGUAGGGGCAGCGUUGUCCGGAAUCAUUGGCGUAAAGCGCGUGUAGGCGGCCCGGUAAGUCCGCUGUGAAAGUCGGGGGCUCAACCCUGGAAGGCCGGUGGAAACGUGUCGGGCUAGAGUCCGGAAGAGGCGAGUGGAAUUCCCGGUGUAGCGGUGAAAUGCGCAGAUAUCGGGAAGGAACACCAAUGGCGAAGGCAGCUCGCUGGGACGGUACUGACGCUGAGACGCGAAAGCGUGGGGAGCAAACAGG
rnacentral:rRNA from 1 species